rnacentral:rRNA from 1 species
AGGGCACCACCAGGAGUGGAGCCUGCGGCUUAAUUUGACUCAACACGGGAAAACUCACCCGGCCCGGACACUGGAAGGAUUGACAGAUUGAGAGCCCUUUCUUGAUUCAGUGGGUGGUGGUGCAUGGCCGUUCUUAGUUGGUGGAGUGAUUUGUCUGGUUAAUUCCGAUAACGAACGAGACUCUAGCCUAUUAAAUAGAUCGUUGGCUUACAAACGCCGGCGGGACUUCUUAGAGGGACAGGCGGCGAUUCAGCCGCACGAAACAGAGCAAUAACAGGUCUGUGAUGCCCUUAGAUGUCCGGGGCCGCACGCGCGCUACACUGAAGUGAUCAGCGUGCAUUUUGAAACCUACUCUGUCAAGAGUGGGGAACCCAAUGAACCUUCUUCGUGAUUGGGAUAGGGGAUUGUAAUUAUUCCCCUUGAACGAGGAAUUCCCAGUAAGCGCGAAUCAUAAGUUUGCGCUGAUUACGUCCCUGCCCUUUGUACACACCGCCCGUCGCUACUACCGAUUGAAUGUUU